AUGAUUAUGUAGAAUGUUAAAUUAAAUUUAUUUUUCAUUCUUCCAUCGUCUAUAGGGGAAGGGGAUUUGGCGGUGUACUUUGCCUCUACUUCUUCUCUAGGGUUACAGGUGCUUGCUCCGACCUUCAUCUCUUUUCUAUAUGGUAAAGUGGCUUCGAUUCUAUCAAAUUUCUAGUGUUUUUGCGUGUUAAUCUUAUCGCUGGUUGCUCACAAAAUGAAGCGAAACUCAGGGUUGUUUUUUCCUUCUUUUUGAGAUCCCAAUUGAUGCUGAUAAGGUUCCCAGUGAGAUGCGCUUCACUGAUUUCAUUUUUUUCUUUUGGAAUUUUCGUGGCUUAUUUGAAGAGGGUUAUGGAUUAGGGUUUUACAGUCUGCUCCAAUCUGAAUAUUGAGUUAUCAUUUCCAGGGAAGCUUUGUUAAAGAAGUGUUUUUAGUGAGAAAAUGGAUUAUGUGCUCUCCGUGUGAUUUUCUUUUACGGCUACUGACAGAAGUGUAUUAAAAGGAUUUGAAGUAUUACUGAUCGGUUAAUCUUGAAGAACCAAAGCGAUAUUUGGCCAUUUUUUCUAUUUAUGGCGCUGAGGAAGGUUUUGAGUUCGAAUGUGUGUAGCAAAAUCAAUAUAUUAUUGUGGGAGGAGUUUCAAUGGAGGUCUUACAAUACCGCAAAGAAGAAUUUAGUGGAUAUCCGACCCAUGAUACAGAAGAGAAUCGAAAGCCGGGCUAAGGAUUACCCGAUCCGGGGAAUGAUUCCAGUGGCAGAGGAGGUCCUCAACUCCAGGAGGGUCCUUAUUCAGGGUGUCUCUGCUCUUCUCAAAGUGAUCCCAAUUGUUUCCUGCAAGUUUUGUCCUGAGGUCUAUAUUGGUGAGGUAGGCCACUUAAUCCAGACCUGCUGUGGUCCUAAACGUUUUGGCAAAAAACAAGUUCAUGAAUGGAUAGUUGGUGGUCUGAAAGAUAUUCUCGUUACAGUAGAGGCAUUUCACUUACAACACAUGUUCCAGAGUAUUGUUAAACACAGUGAAAGGUUCGACCUUGAACGUGUUCCUGCAGUUGUUGAGUUAUGCUGGCAAGCAGGAGCCGACCCAAAUCAUGAAUGCUCACUGACCAACACUCCUGAUUCAAAUGGUAACUCUUGUGAUGCUGAUGCUGAUGGAGUUGAGUAUAUGUCUAUUCAAGAGCUGAAAUCAAUAGCUAAAACUACUUUGCAUGCAUGGGAAACACUUAGAGAAGGUGUACAGAGGUUGUUGUUGGUCUAUCCAGCUAAAGUCUGCAAACAUUGUUCUGAAGUACAUAUUGGGCCAUCUGGUCAUUUGGCUAGGAAUUGUGGAGUGUUUAAGUAUGAAAGUUGGCGAGGAACACAUAUCUGGAAGAAAGCAGAAGUAAAUGAUUUAGUGCCUCCAAAAAUUGUGUGGCGGCGAAGGCCUCAGGAUCCUCCUGUGCUUUUAAAUGAAGGCAGCGAUUUUUAUGGACAUGCCCCGGCUGUUGUUGAUCUAUGCACAAAGACUGGUAUAAUUGCGCCUACAAAGUAUAAUUGUAUGAUGAAGAUUCAAGGUUUAUCUAGACCUAUGCAAUUCAAAGAUUGAAGAGAACAAAUCAGAUGAAGAUCGAAAAUUUUCUCCUUUAUAUCAAGUUGGAGCCUGAUUCAUUUGCUUCAAAUGGCUUAUAUUUGUUCUGGAUGCAGAUUUUUGCUCUUGGACAUGGCUGCUACUAGUGCACUAUUAUUAGUGUAAUAUCUGCACUAAACAUUCGCCAACGCAAAUAUACUUGUUUUAGUAAUAAUAAAUAUCUUUAAAGAUAGAUGUUAUGUAAUAUGAUAAUAUAAAGGGAUAAUUGCGGCAAAAGUCCCCAAAAACUUGAGGUUGAUGCCGAUUAGUCCUCAACUUCAAAAAUUGGCGGUGAAAAUACCUAAGGUCCUAAUUUUUGUUUGUCCGUUGGUCCUUUUUCUAACGGAUCCGUUAAACCCAAAUAAAGUGCCACGUGUCAAUUUU